rnacentral:rRNA from 1 species
CAGCCGCCGCGGGAAUACGUAGGGUGCAAGCGUUACUCGGAAUUACUGGGCGUAAAGCGUGCGUAGGUGGCGGUUUAAGUCCGUUGUGAAAGCCCUGGGCUCAACCUGGGAAUUGCAGUGGAUACUGGAUCACUAGAGUGUGGUAGAGGAUAGUGGAAUUUCCGGUGUAGCAGUGAAAUGCGUAGAGAUCGGAAGGAACAUCUGUGGCGAAGGCGACUAUCUGGGCCAACACUGACACUGAGGCACGAAAGCGUGGGGAGCAAACAGGAUUAGAUACCCCUGUAGUCCCUGUCUCUUAUAC